rnacentral:ncRNA from 1 species
GAUUUCUCUCUUGAGCCAUAAAAAGUCCCUCACCCAGGCUGGACAUGGAAAGGAUUGAUGAUUGAUAGGUCUUUCUCAAUUCUGUGGGUGGUGGUGAAUGGCCGUUCUUAGUUGGUGGAGCAAUUUAUCUGGUUAAUUCCAAUAACGAAGGAGACUCUGGCAUGCUAACUAGUUACAAGACCCCUGAGUGGUUGGCAUCCCAACUUCUUGGUGGGACAAAUGUUGUUCAUCCACCCAAGACUGAGCAAUACCAGGUCUGUGAUGCCCUUAGAUGUCCAGGGCUGGACACACACUACACUGACUGGCUCAGCGUGUUCCUACCCUAUGCUGGCAGGCACGGGUAACCCAUUGAACCCCAUUUGUGAUGGGGUUCAGGGACUUCAAUUAUUCCCCCUGAAUGAGGAAUCCCCAGUAAGUGUGGGUCAUAAGCUUGUGUU